GUGGAAUUGGUUCAAGGAAUGUUAUGAAGCUGUUACGUCAUUGAUACUUUACAGCAUUACAGGCUUGUUUUUUUUUUUACAUUGUAAAGUUAUUUUUGCAGUACAAUAAUAAAUAAUUUAUUAUCUUGUAAUCAGAAAAAGAACAACCCAAUUUCUGUAUUUUUACAGCCAGGAGCAAGCAGGACCGUCUGAAACUCAAAGGACCCAGCCUCCCACCACUUCGCUUGAGCCUUUAUAUUCUUCUUUGAGGUGUGACGUCUAUUCUGCACACCAUUGUAGUUACAAAAUAAGCCUGAUGUGUCAUUACAGUGUUAGGGUUAGGCUUUUCAAUAUUUAUUUUCACAGAUUUUUAUACAUAACUGCUUUUUGCACAUUUGUUGACAUUGUUUUCCAUUGAAAAUACUUGUUUUCAAUAAAAUCCCAUUGUUUGGAGAUAAACCUAUAUAAUUCAACUUGAUUUUUAUUCAUUAUAUUGAUAUUAUGCUGUGCACAAUGAUAAAGUUUGAUGAUACACUGGGUAAAUGUCAUAACCAAAGGCUAUGUCAUAUGCAGAAUGACUCCUACAAUGAUAAUCAGUACUUUUAUUUGACCAGAUUCCCUUUUAUGAGGUGAAAAACACAUUCGGCACAGUUUUGGCACAUUUGGCUAAAUUGUGCCGAAAUCCCAGCUCCGCCUGUCACAUUGCCCACUAAAACCUUUGUGGAACAUAAAUGCUUCAACUGAUUCAGUCCAAAUUUGCUGCAGUUAUAGCCAAGGUGUUGAUGAAUACAACCUGGGAGUUCUCCUAGGAUUCCCAAAGGAUUUUCAUGGUGUUUUACAAUGUUUAUUCAGAAGAAAAUUAAGGCGAGGGCCAAAAAAUAGAAAAUAUUCAGUUUAAUCAUGAAUAAAUCUGACAUAGUAACAGUUGCAACAGUGGUUCCACUGGAAAUAUUGUCAGGAUCUGUGUGUUGUCUUGUUGUUGUUGCACUGUGCUUGGCCUCUAGGUGGCUUUGGGUUUGUGAGGAGUGGUGGCAGGUGUCCCAUAUUCCCUAAUCAUCCCUGGAGGGUACUUAAGAUGGAGGCUGCCAGCAGUUCAGUGCCAGAGUGUUGCCCUCAGUGACUGGAUUCCUAUGCCUGACCUUGUAUUUGAAGAAUCCUCAUCAACUUGGAUGUUUUUGUCACUGGAGAAGGAUUUCCUAGCCAGGUGGAUUAUACCUAGAUUGCCAACAUUUUGCUUCCUAAGUUACGGGCUGGCGGCUAUUCUGACGGUGCGUUUCCUGGAAUAACUACGGACCUCCACCACUGUCCACCCUCCCACACAAUAACAUCAUCAGCCGAACCUCAGAGUACCUCAAAGUGAGUCCAAGUACCUACCAGCUCCGUUCAUCUCAGUGUGCAGUUCCAUUGUUGUCUCACCCCCUCCUGGCGGAUCAAACUCCACUCCCUAUUGACUUCUGGUUCCAGCUCCACUUCCCUUUACCUGCUCACUGUAAAAUAAAACCUCUUGUAAAACUU